AGCCAAUCUGCGACAGACACCACAGACACGCUUGACUCCACAGAAAGUCCAGCCCUGGAGAUCUCCCACUCUCACAGCCUUCCAGCUUUCUCCUCUUAACUCCUCUCCCUCCCUUCCCCGCCAUCUCCCACCGCUUUCUUUUCUUUUCUUUUUCUUUCUUUUUUUCUUGUUCUUUUUCUUUUUUUGAGACAUGGUCUUGCUCUUGUCGCCCAAGCUGCAGUGCAGUGGCACAAACUCGGUUCACUGCAACCUCCACCUCUUGGGUUCAAGCGAUUCUUCUGCCUCAGCCUCCCGAGUAGCUGGGAUUACCGGUGGGCGCCAUCACACCCAGCUAAUUUUUGCAUUUUUUAGUAGAGACAGGGUUUCACCAUCUUGGCCAGGCUGGUCUUGAACUCCUGACCUCAGGUGAUACGCCCACCUCGGCCUCCCAAAGUGGUGGGAUUACAGGCGUGAGCCACCGGGCCUGGCCUCCCACUGCUUUCUUGAGCGGACAGGCCUUCCCUGGUGGUUGGCACCCAGCAGCCUCAUAGUGCAAGAUAUAUUUGUAGGUGAGUGGGAAGGAAGGGGGAUGGCUGGUCUUUCACUUAGCCAGGGAGCAAAGAUGCCAGAGACUUGGCUCCACCCUCAAAGGGUUUUGACCAUGAGAAUCAACUAUAACCUCCUUAGGAUGGUGUCAGAGUCCUCCUGACUGGGUCCUGCUUACCUCUCCCUCACCAUGGCAGUAUUCAUUCCUGCCCCAUUUCCUCUCUACUUUCCUCAUCUUCCACUCCUAACAGGAUAAGUUCCAGCCAUACUGAACUGUUGAGAGAACUGGCCCUGCUCUGAGCCCGAGGCUUUUGUACCUGCUAUUUCCUCAGCCAAGAAGACUCUCUUUCACCUGUUUAAGUUCACCUGCUUGUCCUGCAUGUCUAGGCUUAGACCUUAUCUCCUCCAGAAAACAUCCCUGACACCCCAGGAGAGCCUUAGGUAUCUCCUACAGCACCUCAUAAUUACCCUGUGAUCAUUAUAGCACGCUUACAUAGCCCUAGCACAGAGCAGAUGCCAUUUUAGGUGUUGUACAUUGAGAAAGAAUCCUGCAAGUAAUAGCCACAAUCCACAUGCACUCCCAAUCUGUAAGCAGUAAUUACUCCUAUAGUACUCAGUAUAAUUAUUGCUAUCACCAAUGAUUUCCGAACAAGAAACCACAGAGUAUGAAUAUGAAGUGUGUGUAAGUGCUAAUCUGAACAUUGAGUGAUGUGCUUUAAAUUCUGAAUACAAAUUGUGGCUAGGAGUGCACGAUCUCAGCUCACUGCAACUUCCGCCUCCCAGGUUCAAACAAUUCUCAUGCCUCAGCCUCCUGAGUAGCUGGGACUACAGGCACCCGCUAUCAUGCCCAGCUAUUUUUUUUUUUUUUUUUUUUUUUAGUAGAGAGUGUUUCACCAUGUUGGCCAGGCUGGUCUUGAACUCCUGACCUCAGGUGAUCUGCCCGCCUUGGCCUCCCAAAGUGCUGGGAUCACAGGCUUGAGCCACCGUGCCCAGCAAUCCUGUACUUUAUUGAACAAAUUAUUGUUAUUUUUCUUAUCCUGUUUUAAAACCCUUCAAGCAUCUCGAGAAUCAGUUUCUCAGCUGACUCCUGUGUACACAUAUACACGUCUGCAAUAAAACUUUGAGAGAGGAGAUCACAUUCAUUGGGUUACAGACUACCAGU
rnacentral:lncRNA from 10 species